rfam:Schistosoma mansoni strain Puerto Rico chromosome 6, complete genome
AUCCAUAUGACGAGCCCGAAAUAGGACGAAACGCACAUCCUGGAU